UUAGAUUUAAGAAAAAUAAGUUGGUUUGGAAAAUAUUUUUCAAAAUAUAUAAGUCAAUUAAACAUAAGAAAACUGAAAAACAUUUUCUGAAAAAUAUUUUUCGUCACACCAAACACACCCUUUUAAGUACUAGUAUUUUGCACAUGAAGCUUAAAGAUGAACAAGUAAAAAGAAAUUUAUCACAUGUAAUUUUAACUUCUGAUUAUGAUAUAAUUAAGUCAUAAAAA
rnacentral:lncRNA from 1 species